rnacentral:tRNA from 1 species
GGAAUAUAGCUCAGUGGUAGAGCGUAUGCUUAGUAUGUGCAAGGUCCUGAGUUGGAUCCCCAGCACCA